rnacentral:rRNA from 1 species
AUUGAACGCUGGCGGCAGGCCUAACACAUGCAAGUCGAACGAGUGGCGGACGGGUGAGUAAUGUCUGGGAAACUGCCCGAUGGAGGGGGAUAACUACUGGAAACGGUAGCUAAUACCGCAUACCAUCGGAUGUGCCCAGAUGGGAUUAGCUAGUCGGGGGGGUAAUGGCCCACCUAGGCGACGAUCCCUAGCUGGUCUGAGAGGAUGACCAGCCACACUGGAACUGUGACACGGUCCAGACGCCUACGGGAGGAAGCAUGGGGGAAUAUGGCACAAUGGGCGCAAGCCUGAUGCAGCCAUGCGGCGUGUAUGAAGAAGGCCUUCGGGUUGUAAGGUACUUUCAGCGAGGAGGCGUUACUCGCAGAAGAAGCACCGGCGAACUCCGUGCCAGCAGCCGCGGUAAUA